GACGAACGCUGGCGGCGUGCUUAACACAUGCAAGUCGAACGGAAAGGCCCUGCUUUUGUGGGGUGCUCGAGUGGCGAACGGGUGAGUAACACGUGAGUAACCUGCCCUUGACUUUGGGAUAACUUCAGGAAACUGGGGCUAAUACCGGAUAGGAGCUCCUGCUGCAUGGUGGGGGGUGGAAAGUUUAGGCUGGUGGGGCUGGACUCGCGGCUGAUCAGCUUGUUGGUGGGGGAGUGGCUUACCAAGGCUUUGACGGGUAGCCGGCCUGAGAGGGUGACCGGCCACAUUGGGACUGAGAGACGGACCAGACUCCAACGGGAGGCAGCAGUGGGGAAUAUUGCACAAUGGGCGGAAGCCUGAUGAAGCAACGCUGCGUGCGGGAUGACGGCCUUCGGGGUGUAAACCGCUUUAGCCUGUGACGAAGCGUGAGUGACGGUAAUGGGUAAAGAAGCACCGGCUAACUACGUG
rnacentral:rRNA from 1 species